AUGAUGCGGUGAUAUCUAUCAUUAUACACGUAGACGGAGCGGCUGAUCGCUGCGGCGCGCCGCUGCGUGAUAGUGCGCGUACAAGGAAAACGCGGACGAGCGUUCGGGAAAUUUUCAACGGGCAAUUUCACGGGUCAACGGCAGCUCUCUGUACUCCGAACAAAGUUUCCUGAUGCAACAACCUUGCCGCACGAGCUGACCGAGGUUGAAAUGCAGCGUGACGAGCGGACAGGGCCUUUGGUCGAAGCGAAACAGGUCGAAGGGUUAGCUCGAAGAAUCUUUCUUGUACCAUGGACUCGUAUAUCGCGGUUGCAUUUCAUGUAUUAGAUUAGAUGAAUUAGAUUUUUUUAAACGGUUGACUCUUGUCUACGUGCAACAAUGUAUCCAGUUAAUAUACGCGAUACAGUCAACAUGAAUCAGACUAGAGACGAUGAGCAGAAAGAUGACUACGAGUAGAGAUUACACCGGAGAUGACGCUCAUUAAUUAAUCAUUAAAUAUUUCCAUUGACAAAGAGGAUUCAAUUCAUGGAAAUGGCACAUCACAGAUUACUCGGUACAAAACCGUCGAGUCAUCCGAAGCAUCGUUCGAAACUGUAGGUUCGUCAUAAUCUUAGAAAGACUUCAUAUACAUAUCUGACAAGUUUGAAUAGAUAGUGCUGCGAGUCUUUCAAUGACAACAAUACAUCGUAUAAUUUUCUAUGUACGGUACUUACACCGCUAGAUACCACGCACCUACGUAUGUUAUAUACUAUGCACAUCGCGUACAAUUGCCAUUGCUGCUUUAAUUAAUAUCAAUUAUUUUGAUUUUCUUGGUCGAUGCCAACGAUACGAAUAAAUAGGGCUGCCUAAGUUUCAAAGCUGAAAGCCUUAUCGGACGCAUCGGAUUUCCAAUAUAAAAAUACACAGGUACGCAAGUUUCUCGAACUCUGAUUUCAAUCGUCGUGCAAUUUCAAACGUCCAAAGCGAUUCUUGUUUCUUUGGAACGGCAUCGGUCGAAGAAUCGAGGAAUGGAGGAUCGAACGCCCCAUCGCGAGCUCUGAAUGCAUCCAGGUUGACCCUCGUGACACCCAGCAGCUUCCGAGCCAUUAAACACAAGAACGUACACGCGGUUUCAGCGGUGAUCGAACCGGUACCGGACGCUUCGCUCGUACAAAUCUGCAUUUUGAUCCGCUGAUCCUAUCAUGGCUAACAUUACUGGAAACUGGUGCCUCAUUAAUUCUAUCCAGCGGCCCUUGUUGUUUAAAUGCACGGCACAGGGGAAGGCAAACCUGCCGCUAGAUCCUCCGUGUCCAUUAACCGGUCUUCCUGACGCAUGGCUCUCUGUGUGCUUGAAGGGAGUCGCCAGAGGUCGAACAGGAACACCGCGCGCUCUCGUUUCUUUGCUCGCGUUUGCCAAUACGCUAUACCGCGGUAUCGAUAGUUUCUUUUCGAUUUCACUUUCGCAUUACGCGUUGUACGCGUUACUCAAAACGAACGACUUUAUAUACGCGAUCUGACCUUAAAUAAUUAUUCCUUUAUCUUAAAAUAAUCUCAACGAUGAUUUUCUACCAGCUGUGCCUCACAGUGCUCUAUUAAACACGAAAUCGUUACAUGCCAAUUGCCUGUGGUAUCGUAUCCGACUGAUCUAAGAAUUUCAAUUAGAUAUUUUGUUGCCCUUAUUCCAUGUUCGACACCUAUUUUCUUCUUUCUUACUUCGCGUGUGACACGCAACGGUCUCUGCUAAUUCGUUUUUCGAAAAAAAGAAUGCAUUUCAAUCUCGUUUUAUCGAGUACUCCGGCGCUCGAUUAAAAACCACGUUUUUCGCCUGUCUUGACAAACUAGACCACCUUGAGGUUCUCGAAAAUCGCGAAUUUUAAUCGAUCCUGGCCGCACGAUACGACUUGCGCUCUAAAAAUCCACGUUCCACCAUUCGACAAUUCAGCUAGAGUUAUUGUAACUCUACGAUUUGCUUCGUUUCUUGCUUAUAGGUUUCGUACGACCUUCAGCCUCCGAACUUUCCACGUUUUCCUUCUCCAUCGCUGAGACGCGGUCAAACGUAGAAUCUGACGCACACACGCGUGUAACACGCGUGGUCGCGUGCAAACACAGGGACGAACCGCGUGCAUUAGCUGGCUGGCACGGUCUCUUAAACGGCAUCGGUGCUCUCCGCAAAACAAGUGGUCUAGCCAGUCGAGCAAAUUACCCACACUUAUUCCCGCUGGUACGUAGGCAAGGGAACGUAGCCAGGACGUCUUCAUUCGACAUCGACAGCAGGCCGCGGUCUAGCAGUUGCCCGCCGCUGCCGACCUGUCCCGUUGCUCGCUAUUUUUCCGCUCUCACGCACGAUCAGCCUCGUCGAUAAUUAUCAACGACUUCCAUUCCCUGUCGAAGUCGCCGUGCCUGUCCCCCUCGAGAUCCUGGAGGUCUCCUUUCGGUCGGAACGGACGGUGACCUCCGUGUUUUCCUCGAUCGAUCGUUGACUCGCAUCGGAAUUUUCUAACGCGAGAAUAUCCGCUGGAAGAUACCGCGGGAUCGCUUGGAAAGUUUCUGAGAAGGGCGAGCAAUUAAUCUCCAUUGGGCUGACACGAGCGUUAAUGCGAAGGGAGCGUGCAGCAUUGACACGUGACGAAAAAUGGACCCGGAGAUCGUGAGCAAAGAUUUUCGUGGCCGCCGCGGUAAUUGGCGUGGGCGGUUCGAGAUACGAGUAAUCCUCUGGAGAAACAUGACAGGGAAUUUGUUCGAACUUAAAAGGCCAGAAUGCAUUCGAGAGAGGCCGCGGACACGGGGUUCGAGAGGAGAGCUACGAGAAACCGUCCAGCCAGCGUCACUGCGAUCCAAGCCACGAGCGGAAUUUCAAUCUGCCGGCAAAUAGAACACAGUGGUCCCAUGGCGUAAAGGUCGCCAACCGCCAUGCACGCCAACCUAGCCGGACGGUCUGAUGAUGCCCCGGGUCGGUCGUUACCCAGGCUAAGUGGACCGCCGUUACGUUGAUCAGGUCCGUUUCUUUGUCGUCACCGUCAACUCGCCGAUGUUUCCUGCACUUGCUCGUUUCGAUGCAUCGUGACGGACGCACACUGGUCGUUUCUCGACGGGAAGAUGUUCGUAAAGUCACUUGCAACUCGUCACUGACAAGCACACCAUGCACACCAUCCUCGAAACUCGACGAUACACCGUGUCACCAAAACACCACGUGUUGCCAGCGAUGGCCGAAUCAACGGACCACCGAUCCUCGGUCGAACGAACGAUCUGCCGGAUGAACCCGCGACACGAUCAUUCUUCUGGUCGAGCAGCCAGCCCGGGGUUGGGUCACCUGGCGCGAGAACGGUUCGGACGGAUCGGCGAAAAACGGUGGCAAAAAAGGCGCGGAGGGACGGGAGCAGCGAGAUCGAGAGGCGGCCAGAUGUGGCGGACAGGGACGUCGAGGCGUGAGUAAGCUCUCUCUCGUGGCCAAGGAAAUUAAUUCGUGGAAAGAGAGGCGUGUUAGUGGCGAAAGAAAGGGGAGAAACAGAACCGAGGAAAGGAAAGGAAAGAAAGAAAGAAAGAAAGAAAGAGCAGCGUAGAGAGACAGCAGAGGGGCGCGUACCGCGGGAGGGGUAAGGGAGAAGAACGUGAUCACACAGGCGUGCACGGAGGAAUGAAAUCGUCAAGAGAGAGGAGAACGGAUGUAGGGAGGUGUUUUUAUGAAAGGCGAGCAGUGUGCGUUGACGUCAAUUAUAUAGGUGGCCACGGCAGAUAGCCGCGUCCGUACACGAACCCCGGUCUUCUCCUUAAUGGGUUAGGUUUAGGUCGCCGCAGAGGUUAUCGGUCUCUCCGAGCUCCCUCUCUGCUCCUCGCCAAGCUGCCACGACGCUAUCUUGCUCCUCCUCGCUAGGGAUUUUCAAAGUAGAUAAGCCUCGAGACGAGAAACUCCGAUGGUUCUACUAGCUUCUUGCCUCUGAUCCGAGGAGGGAUCCUCCAGAGUAGGUAUGUAAUAUUCACGAGGGCAGAAGGGAGGAUUAGGCGCGCCAGUGACACGCUGCUGACACCCACGCGUUAGACGCGCGACACGGUGAACACGUCGCGCGAUUCUACGUUUGUUGCAGGGUGAACGAACAGAACAGUGCCAGGGUAGCCAAGGAUACCGGUUGCAAAACGACUCGCUGUGCAGACCCUUGCAGCUUGUGAAAUUCGUGUUGGAUUCGCGGCAUCAUCGACUACCGUGUAAGCGCCGCAUAGAUGUCGCUGGCUUUGCGCCGCCAUGAUCCAACGGAUGACGGCCUCCGCGGAGAGCAUCAGUCAUACAGUUACACGACCAAGGGACGAGGUAAUUCGUUGAAAUGCUGGAAUACGGCGGUUGGACGAACGAGAAUGUGCGAUUUUCUUGAUCGGAAGGCGGAGCGAGUCAGCCGUGGCCCUUUUUAAACGAUGUCACGGACGCGCGAUGAUGACUAACGCAAAAAAAGCUGAGACUGAUGGUGAUUCGGGCUCGUUAUCACCACCUUUGACACAUGUGUAUCGUUCGAUUUUUAUCUGAGACAAUAUAGCCAGAAGAAGUGGCGAUGCUUCGACCAAAAAUCAAAGCUCAGGUUAACUCUUUUUCUCGUGUGAUUUCUCCGUUGUGAAAAGAGCAUCGAUACGCGGUGUUGGGUAACGCAACCAUCUCUACGAUAUAAUUUUUGUUUAAAUCGUGGAACGCUAUACGGUCGUAGAAGCGACAGUUUCGAAUUGUCGCGUCCUCUAUUAAAAAAUUCAUUUUGCCGAAGUAUCGCGAAAAGUCUGUCUCACUGGCUUAUCGAUCGUAGCCAGAGCUUUGUUGCCGCAAAAACAAACUCUGCUACGCGAAGACUAAUUUCGAUUUCGAACAUGGUAUUUCGUCCGCUCUUCGAACAUACCAUGGGAAAGCUAUUCGCGGCUGGAAUCUCGGUGAAAAUUUCGAUCGAGCUAUCCGUAGCUUGUUGACGACUCCUGGCCUGGCAGAGAGAAAGAGACAGUGAGAGACAGAGAGAGAAUAUUUCGAUUUUUCCGUCGUUACACGACCACGCGUGGAACGUGGUCAGCGUGUGUGCGUUGCAUCAGAGUGGGAGAGGUGCGCGACCCAUGGGGUUAUCAUCGGCCUCUCUGUGUACCUAUAUCAAUCCUAGCUUCGUUUCACGUAUCACGCUCCGAAGCGUUGCGCAGGAGCCGCGCGACGUUCUCUCGGAUCUCGACGCGCGAUAAUUUUAUGGACGGAGCUACUUUCAUGGAAAACUUUAUCGUGCACGGUUGCGUCAUCAACGCGAUCGGGAUCCUCUGUCGCGAACCGUACCGAUCUCGACUCCUAUACUCGGUCACUUUUAGUCAAAUAUCUCCGCACAUUCGAUCGCACAUUUUCGUUUUUAAAAAUGGUAAGACGUCGCAUCUGACAAAUCGUGCAUCGCUCUGCGAGUAGUUAACUGUUCGUAAUAAAAAAGAAAGUCCGGCGUUUCAGACGUAUCGUAUUUGAAUUGUCGGGUUUUGUUUGCAUCGCACUUUCAAUCGCUCGUACGUCAAAAUUAUGACAAAAUAGCAUUUGAGGUUAUCGACAAACGUAUCGAACGAUAUAAAUUAUUUAUUACUUUUCCUAGAACGAAAAGCUAGAUACGCAGCUAGAAAGUUACGUCAGGUGAUGUCAUACGAUCGAUAUAUUUCAUAGAAGAGAUUGAUAUUUCUUCGAUAAUUUAGUGGAACGUACGCAUCAAUUAGAGGAAAAAGUAUAAAGUGCCGAUGCUGUUGCAAUACCAUUCAUGUGCAAAGUGUCGUUAGGAUCAUAUAAUAAUCACGUGAUGGUUUGGCAAGCGUUUCUAACGCACGAUGAUUUUUGUUUUAUCAGCAUCAAUAGAGGAAGCUGACGAUGAUACGUAUGUACAUAAUUUCCCAUUUCGUACGCUGAAACGAUACUGUAUCGUCGUGAAAUAAUAUCGAGUUACGUUGGUGGCUUUGCGCAUUGAAUUAGAAAACAACAGUGCAAACGCGUUAUCGUUUCCUCCAGUUUUCGAUUUUGACACGCAAUAACCGUAAUUACGCUGACGUUAACAUAUUAAAAGGUGAUAUAGAAUAUUUAGAGAAUCGAUCCUCUGUAAUAUUAUCGCUGUGGUC